CCUACAGACAGACCAGCACUUCCCAGGCAUCAUCAGCCUUCUGGGCCCCAGCCCAUUUGGCUGUGCUGGCUCAGGGGAGCUGUGGCCCACACCCUCGCUGUCCUGUUCUCCCUGGAACGGCAUCUGAUCUUUGGAAUUUGGGGACAGGAUGGAGUCCAGACCCCAGUUCCCUGAGUCCUCCUCCAGGGCAGCCCUGACUUUGCCUGAUCAGAGGAGCUGGAGGAACUAUUGUCAUGAACACCAACGUUUGGCCACAGGAGCCGAUGUCAUCCACAUCCUGCUCUCCCAGAGUCAGGCGUCACCCUCCUCUGCGACCUCGUGUGCAGCAUUGGGUCAUAACAGAGAAAUCCCCUGCUCACUCAAGGACCACGUGGACAGUAGGGGAUCCCCUGACAUCCCAGGGGCACCUACUUACAGGGGAGGAUGUUCUUGCCCAGAGAGAAGAUGCAGAUGAAAGUUCUGGCUUCACAGUCUGCAAACUGUGAUGCCAUAGCAACCCCGUCCUCUGGUUGGAGUUCACUUUCAUGAUGAAAUGCACUAUUGGGGUGGUGGCUGUGAUCUUAUCAUGGUUGUGAGAUUUUUAUGUCACGCUGGAAACUAGGCAGGUAGAGAAUGAGGUCUGUGUUGUAGUAAUAAUAAAAGCCCAAUACCCCAGUGUCACCAUGGUUGUUCUGAAUAUCUGUAGCUCAAGCCCUGUGUCUCAGCCUAAGGUUUUUGGAAACUAUUCUACUUCAAUUACCAGUAGUCAUGUCUCCAAUUCAUUAGGCUGAGGAAGUUUAAAAAAUCCACCAUUAGGGGCUGUGAGCUGUGCGGACUGUAUCACGGGGUAGGCUAAGACAGACGCCAGCAGAGCAUUUGCUUCCUGGUGCGGCUGCAACAGGAUGGCCCCUUUCUUGGGUGGUCUUUGGGCAGGCAUGGCUGGAAAGGGUGUAGGUCUCAGCUGUAGGAUAUGAUCCUCCCUGUUCUUUUCUAGGAUAGUGAUCUUGCUGAUUACACAAUAAAGAGAUUAUUUGCA